rnacentral:rRNA from 1 species
CCGCGGGAUUAGAGUUUGAUCCUGGCUCAGGAUGAACGCUGGCGGCGUGCCUAACACAUGCAAGUCGAACGCGCUCCAUUCGGUAGCAAUACUGAUGAAGAGUGAGUGGCGAACGGGUGAGUAACACAUGAGCAACCUGCCCCGAAGACUGGGACAACACCGGGAAACCGGUGCUAAUACCGGAUAUCCCUAUCGGACCGCAUGAUCUGAUAAGGAAAUGGAUUCCGCUUCGGGAGGGGCUCGUGGCCUAUCAGCUAGUUGGUGAGGUAAUAGCUCACCAAGGCAUCGACGGGUAGCUGGUCUGAGAGGACGAUCAGCCACACUGGGACUGAGACACGGCCCAGACUCCUACGGGAGGCAGCAGUGGGGAAUCUUGCGCAAUGGGCGAAAGCCUGACGCAGCAACGCCGCGUGGAGGACGAAUGCUUUCUGAGUUGUAAACUCCUUUCAGCAGGGACGAUUGUGACGGUACCUGCAGAAGAAGCACCGGCCAACUACGUGCCAGCAGCCGCGGUGAUACGUAGGGUGCAAGCGUUAUCCGGAUUUAUUGGGCGUAAAGAGCUCGUAGGCGGUUUGAUUAGUCGGGUGUGAAACCUCCAGGCUUAACCUGGAGCCGCCACUCGAUACUGUCAUGACUAGAAUUCGGUAGGGGACCACGGAAUUCCUGGUGUAGCGGUGAAAUGCGCAGAUAUCAGGAGGAACACCAGCAGCGAAGGCGGUGGUCUGGGCCGACAUUGACGCUGAGGAGCGAAAGCGUGGGGAGCGAACAGGAUUAGAUACCCUGGUAGUCCACGC